rnacentral:rRNA from 1 species
AACGGUGGCUAUUGCGGAGGGGAACACCUGUAACCAUUCCGAACACAGAAGUUAAGCCCUCCCGCGCCGAUGGUACUGCAGGGGCAUCCCUGUGGGAGAGUAGGUCGCCGCCGGCC